CGUCAAGUCAUCAUGCCCCUUACAUCCUGGGCUACACACGUACUACAAUGCUACGGACAAAGGGCAGCAAACUCGCGAGAGCUAGCAAAUCCCAUAAACCGUGGCUCAGUUCAGAUCGUAGGCUGCAACUCGCCUACGUGAAGGAGGAAUCGCUAGUAAUCGCAGGUCAGCAUACUGCGGUGAAUACGUUCCCGGGCCUUGUACACACCGCCCGUCACACCAUGGAAGUUGGCCACGCCCGAAGCCGUUACUCCAACCCUUGUGGAGGAGGACGUCGAAGGUGGGGCUGAUGACUGGGGUGAAGUCGUAACAAGGUAACC
rnacentral:rRNA from 1 species